rnacentral:lncRNA from 1 species
AUGUCUGAGGCAGGAGGCAGGGAAGCUCCGGAGAGUGAGGAGCAUGGAAAUUCACUGCCAGGACGUGGGCACAACAGCGCCUAUCUUUGGCCAGCACUCUGCUUCUCAUCUGCUGCAUGGUCAUGGGCAGGGGACCCGGCUGGAAAGACACCCUCCCAACCCCUGGGCUGUCAUGAGGAUGAAACGAGACCAGACCAGGAAGCUUCUGGCAGCACAGCCCUGAGCAGGCUGGAAGGUUGGACACAAAGGAGGGUUUUCCAGCAGAUCCUGGUUGCUGAGUGGCUGUGAUGAUGUCCCGCCCUGGGGGAUGUUAAGUCAGGUGGCGCUCACCAUGCCCACUGAGCUGGCCUUGGGCUGUGAGGUUGUGCAAGACACCGUCAGCCACAGCCCUGAAAGGAGGGUGACAACGAGGACCCAGCCUGCAGAGCCAUGGCAGAGACAAAGUUCCGAGGUGACACGCUGCCCAAGGAUGCUGGGGCAGGUACCUGUCAGCAGGUAAACCUGUGAAUCCCUCAUUUCCUUUUCAGGGUCAUUAGUCUGGCCCUGCCUUAGCCUCUGGGCUCCAGGACCAUAAAGGCGGCCGCUGACCUGGGACCAGGAAGGUGCUCCUUCCCAGUUAACACGAGGUCUUCUUGAAUGCUACCCUUGCAGCGAAAGACAGCGCCACGGCCACCCUGGAUUCUCUCCUCAUGCUCACCUGUAAGGAGCAUCCUUUGUUUCUAUUUUCAGAACGUACCUUGACCC